CCCAGACUCCUACGGGAGGCAGCAGUAGGGAAUCUUCGGCAAUGGACGAAAGUCUGACCGAGCAACGCCGCGUGAGUGAAGAAGGUUUUCGGAUCGUAAAACUCUGUUGUUAGAGAAGAACAAGGACGUUAGUAACUGAACGUCCCCUGACGGUAUCUAACCAGAAAGCCACGGCUAACUACGUGCCAGCAGCCGCGGUAAUACGUAGGUGGCAAGCGUUGUCCGGAUUUAUUGGGCGUAAAGCGAGCGCAGGCGGUUUCUUAAGUCUGAUGUGAAAGCCCCCGGCUCAACCGGGGAGGGUCAUUGGAAACUGGGAGACUUGAGUGCAGAAGAGGAGAGUGGAAUUCCAUGUGUAGCGGUGAAAUGCGUAGAUAUAUGGAGGAACACCAGUGGCGAAGGCGGCUCUCUGGUCUGUAACUGACGCUGAGGCUCGAAAGCGUGGGGAGCAAACAGGAUUAG
rnacentral:rRNA from 1 species